GCGGCGGACGGGUGAGUAACACGUAGGCAACCUGCCCUCAAGUUUGGGACAACUACCGGAAACGGUAGCUAAUACCGAAUAAUUGUUUUCUUCGCCUGAAGGAAACUGGAAAGACGGAGCAAUCUGUCACUUGGGGAUGGGCCUGCGGCGCAUUAGCUAGUUGGUGAGGUAACGGCUCACCAAGGCGACGAUGCGUAGCCGACCUGAGAGGGUG
rnacentral:rRNA from 1 species